GUGUAUGGUCAUAUCACCCUGACUGCCUGAUCUCAUCUGAUCUCAGGAGCCGAGCAGGGUGGGAGAAAAACAACUGGAUUUUUAUAAGAACAGUGAAUUUUGUGGCAUUUUAACU
rnacentral:rRNA from 1 species